rnacentral:tRNA from 1 species
GCCGAUGUGGCUCAGUGGCAGAGCAGCGCACUCGUAAUGCGCAGGUCGGCGGUUCAAAUCCGCCCAUCGGCU